rfam:Ovis aries breed Texel chromosome 10, whole genome shotgun sequence.
UCCCUGGUGGUCCAGUGGCUAAGACUCUGCACUCCCAAUGCAUGGGGCCUAGGUUCAAUCCCUGGUCAAGGAA